rnacentral:rRNA from 1 species
UACAGAGGGUGCAAACGUUGCUCGGAAUCAUUGGGCGUAAAGGGCUCGUAGGUGGCCAACUAAGUCAGACGUGAAAUCCCUCGGCUUAACCGGGGAACUGCGUCUGAUACUGGAUGGCUUGAGUUCGGGAGAGGGAUGCGGAAUUCCUGGUGUAGCGGUGAAAUGCGCAGAUAUCAGGAAGAACACCCGUGGCGAAGGCGGCUCUCUGGUACGGAACUGACGCUGAGACGCGAAAGCGUGGGAGCGAACAGG